rnacentral:rRNA from 1 species
UUUCCCUACGGGGGGCAGCAGUGGGGAAUUUUGGACAAUGGGCGCAAGCCUGAUCCAGCUAUUCCGCGUGUGGGAUGACGGCCUUCGGGUUGUAAACCACUUUUGUAGAGAACGAGAAGUCUGUUGAUAAUACCGAUAGAUGAUGACGGUACUCUAAGAAUAAGCACCGGCUAACUACGUGCCAGCAGCCGCGGUAAUACGUAGGGUGCGAGCGUUAAUCGGAAUUACUGGGCGUAAAGGGUGUGCAGGCGGUUUUGCAAGAUGGAAGGGAAAGCCCCGGGCUUAGCCUGGGGAA